rnacentral:rRNA from 1 species
GACGAACGCUGGCGGCGUGCUUAACGCAUGCAAGUCGAACGGAAAGGCCCUGCUUUUGUGGGGUGCUCGAGUGGCGAACGGGUGAGUAACACGUGAGUAACCUGCCCUUGACUUUGGGAUAACUUCAGGAAACUGGGGCUAAUACCGGAUAGGAGCUCCUGCUGCAUGGUGGGGGUUGGAAAGUUUCGGCGGUUGGGGAUGGACUCGCGGCUUAUCAGCUUGUUGGUGGGGUAGUGGCUUACCAAGGCUUUGACGGGUAGCCGGCCUGAGAGGGUGACCGGCCACAUUGGGACUGAGAUACGGCCCAGACUCCUACGGGAGGCAGGAGUGGGGAAUAUUGCAAAAUGGGCGGAAGCCUGAUGCAGCAACGCCGCGUGCGGGAUGACGGCCUUCGGGUUGUAAACCGCUUUCGCCUGUGACGAAGCGUGAGUGACGGUAAUGGGUAAAGAAGCAACGGCUAACUACGUG